AUGAAAGCAUCACUAUCGCAGGGGGAAUUUCUGCAAAUGACAGUCACUCUAUGGGCGAUUUGGUUUGCACGACGGAAGGCGAUUCACGAGGCCGAAUUCCAAUCUCCUAUGUCAACUCAUUUGUUUAUAAAAAGGUUCAUUGAUGAUCUAACUUUGAUCGAGACACCUAGGAGACAUGUUCAAGCAGGCACAACUGCUGGUCACAGUACACGCGAACCCUGGGUUCGACCACCUCCGAGUUUCUCAAAAUUUAAUGUUGAUGCUGCUGUUUCAUCACAUAAUGGAAGGGGCUCUGCUACAGUUGUGUGCAGGGAUGAAAGGGGAGAGUACUUGGGUGCAUCUGCUAUGGUCUACUCUAUCACAGAUCCUACAACGCUUGAAACGUUGGCUUGA
rnacentral:rRNA from 1 species